rnacentral:rRNA from 1 species
CUCAAAGGGAUAGCCGGGGGAACAACACAACCAGUGGAUCGUCUAGAUUAAUGGGAUAAUAAGCCAAGGAAUCUUACCUAGAUUCGACAUGUACUAUGUCCUAUGUGGAAAGCAUAGUAGUCCGAGCAAUCGGACAUGGAAUACAGUUGGUGCAUGGUCUUCGUCAGCUCGUGCCGCAAGGUGUCUAGUUAAGUCUGGAAACGAGCGCAACCCUCAUCUUUUAGUUAGAAUGUCUAAAGAGACUGCUCCGGUAACGGAGAGGAAGGAGAGGAUGACGUCAGAUCCUCAUGCCCCUUACAUCUAGGGCUUCAUAGACAAUACAAUGGGUGAUACAACGAGAAGCUAAGCCGCGAGGUGGAGCAAACCUCUAAAAUCAUCCUAAGUUCGGAUUGUAGUCUGGAACUCGACUACAUGAAGUUGGAAUUGCUAGUAAUGGCGGGUCAGCUACACCGCCCGUGUAUAUGUCCCUGUUCCUUGCACUCACCGCCCGUCAAACCAUGGGAGCUGAGCGCCUCUGAAG